GGGGGAGGAUGCCACUAAUAUAUUCACGAUAAUAUUUCGAAUUAAAGUAUCAUAUUCUACCAUACUUUCCAACAAAGAGCCGCUGUAUAUUACUUCUUCCUUAAAUUUCUUCUAUCUCCGUCGUUUAAUUUUCUUUUCUUCGACAACAUCUCGAGUUUUAUACAGUAUCCGAUCGAAGGAGUUUUUAUUUUGAAUAUCAAAUUUCAAAUAAUGUAAACAGUCGCUACGCGGCCGCGAUUGGCUGGCUGUUAUCGGAAAUAUCUGCUUCCCCCCUGUAAAUUCAACGGUAAAGGAGGCCUGGUUGCGCAGACGUUCGCCGUAGUAAUUUUCGGUCCGGGUAAGUUCAAUAUAAAAUGGGUUUUGAUUUCCAUUGUUAAAAUAUGGUCCAAAACUUGUACAUCUCGCCGAAGUACCUCUGCAUUUUCGAAGAACGGCAUUUGUUGUACAUGCUGGCGAAUUUUUUUUGAGAAUAAAGCGAUUUGAGUGUGAGAAUUUUCGAUUCGAAGUGCCGUGCCGUCGUAUCGACGAUCGGGAAUCGUUAGCCUUUAUCAUGUUUCAUGUAUACUAGUAACAUCG